GCCAGCAGACAUAUCACCCUGCAUCUCUCAACUGCCUACCCACUGGAGCUCAGCAGGGUUGAGCCUGGUCGGCACCUGGAUGAGAGACCUCCUGGGAAGCUGAGGUUGCUGUUGGAA
rnacentral:rRNA from 1 species